CACACAUAGAGGAGCUGGAAGAAAGGGUCUGCGCAGUUGGCGGUUGCUUCUUCACAAAAACACAUACCUAUACAUACAAUACACACACAUAUACACAGAGAAAAUAGAGAGGCGUCUGGGAACGAGCCCUGCUUUGGAUCUCAUUUGCAAAUAUGGUUUACUGCACCAGCUUCGUUUCUUCAUUCAAGUUUGUGAGAUCGUCCUUCGAGUUUUAUUUUGGCGGAGUUUCGAGGUUCCGAUGAGGUCGCCGAUGAGGUUCCGUUCAACGUCCAAUUUGUCCGAUCUGAGAUCCUUGUUGAUUCGAACCAUCGCACAACCUAAAUAUUCAGCAAGAAAGGUGUUUCCUCCAUCUAAAUACUCCAGAUGCAGUAUUAUGUUUGUUCCAGUGAUUUUAUUCAAAUUGAAUGCCCGUUUGUUCUUUUUUUAUUUAGCCUCUUUGAUGUUUUUCCUUGUUUUGAAUAAUUUGUUCAUUUGCACUUUAUUUUUGAGUGCUUAAACUACGAAUUUUGCCGAACUUUUCAGUAGAUUUGAUUUCCUACAUGAAUUUUUGCUCAUGGUUGAUUGGUUCUAAGUUAAAAAAAUGGAGUGAAUUAGCUUUUUCUCUGUCCAUACUUAGUUUCAUGUUAUGUUUAAUAUCAUUAUGAUUUAGCAUGUUAUAAUUUAUGUAAUAUUUUACUGUGAGUUAAUAAAUGAAUUAAUGAAACACUAGAUUUUGUUUGAAUUGGAUUGAAUUAAGUUUGUUUGGUAAGGACUUUCAGUAGGUUUGAAAUUGGCGUGAUUUUGGAUUUAGAUUAGAGUAUUUUUGUCUUAUUAGAUGGGGUUCGCACUUUUCAGUGCAUCAAUUUAGCAAUUUACUUCAGGCCCGUAACUUAAGAUUCAUGAUUAUGGAUACAGUUCUCGUCGUGUAGUUGUAAUAUUAAAUUUUAAAUUAGUUUUAAAUAUAUAUAUCCGUAGUUUUUAGUUGAGUUCUUUUCCUUUAAUAGAAUUCGAGGUGUGCCAUUUAGCGAAUUCCAUGGCCCUCGCAAUCUUGCAAACGCAUAUUUAUUUUAGGCGCGCUAGUUAAAGAAUUCACUUUCCUAAAUACGGGUGCACAUUUAUGUGACACAAAUCCAAAUCUUAACGAAGUUGGAAUGUGUCAAAAUCCACGUGUGCAUUUAUGUGACGUGGUUCGAGGCAUGUUUUAACAACGUUGCAAUUCUCUUUAAAAUAAUGAUAAAACCGGUUUAAGGUUAGAAAGCACAUAAGCUAAAACAUGUUCUAAAAUCAGGUAAUUUAAGCCAAAUAUAACAGUUGAGCGACCGUGCUAGAACCACGGAACCGGGAAUGCCUAACACCUUCUCCCAGGUUAAUAGAAUUCCUUAGCAGGAGUUCUGAUUCGCAGACUGUUAAACAUAGUCAUUCUUUCGUAGAUUCGGGAUUCUAACCGGUGACUUGGGACACCAUAUAUAUCCCAAGUGGCGACUCUGAAAUUCUUUUAAAUAAUUGAAUCCCAUUUCGAUUGUCCUUAAAUUGGAAAAGCUCCCUUAUCUACGCCCUUCGCCGGGUUGUAGUAGCAAAAAGGAGGUGUGACAGCUCUGGCGACUUUGCUGGGGAAGGUGGACCCAGAAUCUCUGGUUUAGGGUUCAAGAAUUCGAGCUUACAGUAACUGUUAUAUUUGACUUCUUCUGGUUUGCUUACUUGCUCUGUGCUAAAUGCUGCAUGUUUUACCGCUUUGAUAUUACCAGAACUGUAUAUAUAAACUGCUUCACUUGUCACCUCCGGGGAUGUGCUUACUGGUUGAGACUCCCUAUUCUCUUAGUGUCGUACCCUGAAAUAAGAAAGAGGCCGGACAAGUUACAAAGCCGGACGAUCUCGCGGGUCCCAGGUACGUAGCCCCCUCCUCGACUCGAGCUGUCCGCUCGGGUAUACAGUCUAGAACAAAUACCCAGGCUUAAACUUAGAAUAACAAAACCUCAUGCUGGAUCCCUAGUAAGAACACUUAUCUGCAUCAUGCUUAGGGGACUCAACACAGGGGUUGGGCCCAUCUAGGACAGGUGUACCCAAAAUAACAGAUCAUCCGUAUAGAUCCUAAUGUGAUACAUGUUGCAUUUCUCCAAGGAUAAAAGGGUCAUUUGGCGGACCAAGGAUAGCUGAGGGUAAAUGAAAAAUUGAAAAAAAAGAAGAAGAGAAAAACAAUGAAAAGAAAAGAGGUGAAGUGUGAAAAUAAAGCAAGUAGGAUUUAGUUAUGUUUUGUUAUAUUUUUAUUAGAAAAGAGACACGGGAUAUGGGAAAAAUUCAAAAAAAAAAUAAUUAACACUUUUUAUUCAAAAAAAAAAAAAAAAAAGGGAAAAUCCAAAAUAGUUUACGUAUUUCAUCAUUUUUUUUUUCAAAAAGAGAAAAAUUUUUUUAAAAAAAAAAAAAAAAAAGUGAAAAUCCAAAAUAGUUUACGUAUUUCAUCAUUUUGUUUUUCAAAAAGAGACAAAAGAAAAUGUUUUCUUUAAAAAUUAGAUGUUGUUUUUUAUUUUCUGCCCGUAUCCAAUUAGCCCGAAUUACGCGAACUUGAUUCUCGUCUUUCGAGACGUGAUACGUAGGCAACAAACAUAUGGUUUGAUUGUCCUUGUAAUUUUUAGAUUCUUGGCUUUGCGGGGUUAUAGCCAGACUUUGCACUUCUAGCUACUUUUAGCCAUAUAGGUUGGUUUUAGAAUUCAGAAGUUGCUUGUUGGAAAUUGUGUGAAUUGAGUUAUGUCAAUGGACUCUACUAUUGAAAUUCUUAGAGUUCAAGUUUGAAUUCUCUUAUCAAACUUCUUUAUGAUGGUGAAAGUUCUAUUGAGAUCAGUCUUUGUUUGUUGGGGCGUUAUUUUGUGAUUUUAACGAGUUCAAGUUGAAAUUCUCUUGUCAAACUUUUUUCAUGCUCGUGAAAGUUCUACUGACAUCAGUCUUUGUUUGUUGGGGCGCUGUUUUGUGAUUUUAAUUCAAUCAAUGAGUUGUUGGUGGGGCCAUGUCCGUAUGUAAAUCAUGCAUUGUACACCAGUUAUCUUUGUGCUAUGACUGCGGAGUUUUGAAGCUUGUCUUGUUGAAUUUUACCACUUUUGUGAAGUUUUUGGAGUAAAUUGAUAGUUGAAAUUCUCCUAGUUUGAACUUGUUAUCAUUGGCUUUUAAUAGUUGUUGUUAUUGUUGAGUUUAAUAGAGGGGAUUCAGUUGGACUAAAGUUUGAUCAUGCUUGACUUGUUAUUUGGUUGAGCAUACAUUCAGCUUACUCUGCUGAAAUUUUAUGUCCAUUGAGAUUUAUGCACGAGUUUAGCAGCGACAGUUUGAAAUAUGGUUUUUACUUCUAAAAAGUUCUCUUUGUUGAAUUAAUUGCUUUUGUUUAAUAAAUAUUGUGGUUACUCUGACUCAAUAUUGAUGUGAUUCUAAUGUUUUAUUUAUACAGUUGAGGUCGUCAUUUUGUGCUGAAAAAUUCUGUACCUAUUGCUGCUAAAUUUAAUGCUCAAGGUGUUGCUGAAGUUUGAGUUUUGAGAAGCAAUUGAAUAGCGAACCUGCCAGCUUAUUUGAAUUCUAGAAUUUUGCAUUUAAAUGAAAGUUGUUGAUGUAGUACAAGUUUUCUAAGCAUUAUUUGCAUUUUUUACAACAUUUUGUAAAAAUGAAACUGGAGCGGAGAUUAGAACUUGUUUGAAGAAUUUUGAACUCAAAUAAGAGUGUUUUGGACUGUUAUUGAAGGUUNNNNNNNNNNNNNNNNNNNNNNNNNNNNNNNNNNNNNNNNNNNNNNNNNNNNNNNNNNNNNNNNNNNNNNNNNNNNAGCUAAGAGUGUUUUGGACUGUUAUUGAAGGUUGUUGAAACAACCUUGGAAAUGUUUCACUUUUUGCACUAGUUGUGUAGUGAGUGCAAGUUGAUAUUUCUGCACAUUUGAGUUCAGUUGAUUACAAGUAUUUUGGGUCUGUUAACAGGAAAUUACAAGCUGAC
rnacentral:lncRNA from 1 species